ensembl:snoRNA
UUCAGGGCUAGAGUCACGUUUGGGUAUCAGCUACUGCCUGAGUGCAGUGGAGUCCUCCAAAAGUAACUGCUGACCUUAGUCACUGGCUGUGGCCCUCAUGACAUAGUCAGUCAGCAGGUUAGUGACAGGC